rnacentral:misc_RNA from 1 species
AAGUCGUAACAAGGUAACCGUAGGUGAACCUGCGGUUGGAUCAUUAGUAAUAAUGAUGACAUACCACGCUGGUGCUUUGUGCCGGCGCUGGGAGUCGCUUAACCUCUGUGCACUGUAAUUGUCUCGGGUCAGAAGGUAGCUUUAACGAGUGAGACUCUGGCCCGAAAAUGCGGCUUCGCUGCAUAUUAAAAAACACUUUUUAAUUUUGUCUGACUUUUGUAUUCGUAUGAAUCAAAUACAACUUUUAGCAACGGAUCUCUUGGCUCAC